CAUAUCAAUAAGCGGAGGAAAAGAAACUAACAAGGAUUCCCCUAGUAGCGGCGAGUGAAGCGGGAAGAGCUCAAAUUUGUAAUCUGGCGUCCUUCGGGCGUCCGAGUUGUAAUCUAUAGAAGUGUUUUCCGUGCCGGACCAUGUCCAAGUCCCUUGGAACAGGGUAUCAAAGAGGGUGACAAUCCCGUACUUGACAUGACCACCGGUGCUCUGUGAUACACUUUCUACGAGUCGAGUUGUUUGGGAAUGCAGCUCAAAAUGGGUGGUAAAUUCCAUCUAAAGCUAAAUAUUGGCGAGAGACCGAUAGCGAACAAGUACCGUGAGGGAAAGAUGAAAAGCACUUUGGAAAGAGAGUUAAACAGUACGUGAAAUUGUUGAAAGGGAAACGAUUGAAGUCAGUCGUGUUCUUUGGACUCAGCCGGUUCUUCCGGUCUAUUUCCUUUGAACGGGUCAACAUCAGUUUUGUCCGGUGGAUAAAGGCAGGAAGAAAGUGGCUCCCUCGGGAGUGUUAUAGCUUUCUGUCACAUACACUGGAGGAGACUGAGGACUGCAGCUCGCCUUUUGGCCGGGGUUCGCCCACGUUCGAGCUUAGGAUGUUGACAUAAUGGCUUUAAACGAC
rnacentral:rRNA from 1 species